CACAUAGGUCUGGUCCCAGCCUUAAAAUCAACUAUUACUUAAUUUACACAUGCAAGUCUCCGCACCCCCGUGAAAAUGCCCUUACAACCCAUCAGGAAUGAGGAGCUGGUAUCAGGCACAAAAUUUGCCCAAGACACCUAGCCACGCCACACCCACAAGGGUUCUCAGCAGUGAUAAAAAUUGUUUAUGAGCGCUAGCUUGACUCAGUUAAAGUAAAGAGGGCCGGCAAAUCUGGUGCCAGCCGCCGCGGUUACACCAUUAGGCUCAAAUUGAUUUUGUUCGGCGUAAAAUGUGAUUAAAACCUUUUUACAUUAGAGUUAAACUUAAACUAGGCUGUCGCAAGCUUGUAGUUGGGAAAACCAGAAACGAAAGUUACUCUAACUAACCCCAUUUGAACUCACGAAAACUUGAUCACAAACUAAGAUUAGAUACCUUACUAUGCAAGUCACAAACUUUUAUUUACACCCAAAUCGCCAGGGUAUUACGAGCAAAGCUUAAAACCCAAGGGACUUGACGGUACCCCAUAUCCACCUAGAGGAGCCUGUCCUAUAAUUGAUAACCCCCACUAAACCUCACCACCAUUAGCUUAUUCAGCCUGUAUACUUCCGUCGUCAGCUUACCCCGUGAGCGAAAUAAAGUCAGCAUAACGCCUUUCCACCAAUACGUCAGGUCAAGGUGCAGCAAACAUGGUGGGAAGAGAUUGGCUACACUUUCUAAAUUAGAAUACACGAAAGACUAACAUGAAAACCAAGUCAGAAGGUGGAUUUAGUAGUAAAAAGAAAAUAGAGUGUUCUUUUUAAUUUGGCCCUGGGGUGUGUACACACCGCCCGUCACCCUCUUCAUAGCGUAAACUUAGUAUUUAACACUCCCUAGCACUGAAGAAGAGGUAAGUCGUAACAUGGUAAGUAUACCGGAAGGUGUUCUUGGAA
rnacentral:ncRNA from 1 species